GGGCAUCUGGUGGAUGCCUAGGCGUCAAGAGGCGAUGAAGGACGUGGCACUCUGCGAUAAGCCAUGGGGAGCCGAGAGCAGGCUUUGAUCCGUGGAUUUCCGAAUGGGGCAACCCACCCCUUUGGGGUAUCCAUUUCUGAAUUCAUAGGAAAUGGAGGCGAACCCGGUGAACUGAAACAUCUCAGUAACCGGAGGAAAGGACAUCAACCGAGACUCCGUUAGUAGUGGCGAGCGAACGCGGACUAGCCCAGUGACUUGAAGUUUCUAACCAGAACGGCAUGGAAAGGCCGGCCACAGCGGGUGACAGCCCCGUAUGGGUGUUGAACCUUUAAGUCCUUGAGUAGGGCGGGGCACGUGAAACCCUGUCUGAACAUGGGGGGACCACCCUCCAAGGCUAAGUACUCCUUGACGACCGAUAGUGAACCAGUACCGUGAGGGAAAGGUGAAAAGCACCCCGAUGAGGGGAGUGAAACAGUUCCUGAAACCGGAUGCCU
rnacentral:ncRNA from 1 species